UACGAAGGGGGCAAGCGUUGUUCGGAUUUACUGGGCGUAAAGGGCGCGCAGGCGGCCCGUCAAGUCAGAUGUGAAAGCCCCGGGCUCAACUGGGGAGGGUCACUCGAUACUGAUCGACUUGAAGGCAGGAGAGGGAAGCGGAAUUCCCGGUGUAGUGGUGAAAUGCGUAGAUAUCGGGAGGAACACCAGUGGCGAAGGCGGCUUCCUGGCCUGUUCUUGACGCUGAGGCGCGAAAGCUAGGGGAGCAGACGGG
rnacentral:rRNA from 1 species